rnacentral:rRNA from 1 species
UACGUAGGUGGCAAGCGUUGUCCGGAAUUAUUGGGCGUAAAGCGCGCGCAGGCGGUCCUUUAAGUCUGAUGUGAAAGCCCACGGCUCAACCGUGGAGGGUCAUUGGAAACUGGGGGACUUGAGUACAGAAGAGGAAAGCGGAAUUCCACGUGUAGCGGUGAAAUGCGUAGAGAUGUGGAGGAACACCAGUGGCGAAGGCGGCUUUCUGGUCUGUAACUGACGCUGAGGCGCGAAAGCAUGGGGAGCGAACGGG